rnacentral:lncRNA from 1 species
AAGAUAUAUUGCCAUAUAGAAGUUUACAACAAUGUUGUUUGGAUGGGAAAGUUCAUUUAUGAACUCUCUAUACGGUUCCAACCAGAAAGUGUAUGACACUAAUGGGGCGAUAGCUCAAGCCUGGGAAUCAAGGUCUCAUCAAGAUCCGAACUCAAAUGAGAGACUGAACCACAUGAUUGAGAAUCAUGUAUAAUGGGUGACGUCGUUAUUCUCAAGGUUGCUUCUAUGGAUAA